UCAAGGAACUAAGAGUUUAUGGGGGAUACCUUGGCAUUCAGAAGCGAUGAAGGACGUGGUUACCGACGAUAUGCUUCGGGGAGCUGGAAACAAGCUAUGAUCCGGAGGUCUCCGAAUGAGGCAACUUUUUAACUACUUAUUGAAUACAUAGAUAAGAAAGAGCAAACCUAGAGAAUUGAAACAUCUUAGUACCUAGAGGAAAAGAAAGUAAAAACGAUUCCCUUAGUAGCGGCGAGCGAAACGGGAUUAGCCUAAACUUAAUUAUAAAUUAAGGGUAGUGGGACAAUAAUAAAAGAAUAAAUGGAACGAUUAGAGGAAUAAGUUUGGAAUACUUAACCAUAGAGAGUGAUAGUCUCGUACUCGAAAAUUGAACCAAUUCAAUUGUAUCCCAAGUAGCAUGGAGCACGUGAAAUUCCGUGUGAAUCUGCGAGGACCACCUCGUAAGGCUAAAUAUUCCUGAAUGACCGAUAGUGAAACAGUACCGUGAGGGAAAGGUGAAAAGAACCCCGGGAGGGGAGUGAAAAGAACAUGAAACCAUAAACUUACAAGCAGUAGGAGGACGACUAAAACGUCUGACUGCGUGCCUGUUGAAGAAUGAGCCGGCGACUUAUAGUUAGUGGCAGGUUAAAGUAGUGAAUACUGAAGCCACAGUGAAAGCGAGCCUGAAUAGGGCGUUUGUCACUAGUUAUAGACCCGAACCCGGAUGAUCUAACCAUGGUCAGGUUGAAGCUUAGGUAAUACUAAGUGGAGGACCGAACCGACUGAUGUUGAAAAAUCAGCGGAUGAAUUGUGGUUAGGGGUGAAAUGCCAAUCGAAUUCAGAGCUAGCUGGUUCUCCCCGAAAUGCGUUUAGGCGCAGCGGUAAAUGUUAUAAUUUAGGGGUAAAGCACUGUUACGUAUGCGGGCUGGUAAUUCGGUACCAAAUCGUUGCAAACUAAGAAUACUAAAUGUAUAGUUUACCAGUAAGACUGUGGGGGAUAAGCUCCAUUGUCAAGAGGGAAACAGCCCAGAGCACCAGUUAAGGCCCCCAAAUAAUUACUAAGUGGUAAAGGAGGUGGGAUUGCAUAGACAAUCAGGAAGUUUGCUUAGAAGCAGCAAUCUUUUAAAGAGUGCGUAAUAGCUCACUGAUCGAGUAAGCUUGCGCCGAAAAUGAAUGGGACUAAGUAAUUUGCCGAAACUGUGCGAUAUAUUUUAUAUCGGUAGGGGAGCGUUCUGUUGUAGGUAGAAGUAUUAGCGUAAGCGGAUAUGGACGAAGCAGAAGUGAGAAUGUCGGCUUGAGUAACGAAAAUAUAGGUGAGAAUCCUAUACCCCGAAAACCUAAGGUUUCCUCCGGAAGGCUCGUCCGCGGAGGGUAAGUCAGGACCUAAGGCGAGGCUGAAAAGCGUAGUCGAUGGAUAACGGGUUAAUAUUCCCGUACCGUUUUUUAUUGAUAUCGAGGGACGGAGAAGGCUAAGCUAGCCGGAUAUUGGUUUUACCGGUUUAAACGUUCGAGAUGUUGAGAAGCGGAGAAAACGCUUUGAGUUGAGACGUGAAUACGAGACGCUAAGGCGUCGAAGUAGUGUAUGUCAUACUUCCAAGAAAAGCUUGCACUGUCAUAAAUAAAAAAUGCCUGUACCAUAACCGACACAGGUGGGUAAGUAGAGUAUACUAAGGGGCGCGAGAUAACUCUCUCUAAGGAACUCGGCAAAAUAACUCCGUAACUUCGGGAGAAGGAGUGCCUUAUUCUUAAGGUUGCAAUAACAAGAUCCAAGCAACUGUUUAUCAAAAACACAGGUCUCCGCUAAGUCGUAAGACGAUGUAUGGGGGCUGACGCCUGCCCAGUGCCAGAAGGUUAAAGAAGUCGGUUAGCAAUCGCGAAGCUGGUAACUGAAGCCCUGGUGAACGGCGGCCGUAACUAUAACGGUCCUAAGGUAGCGAAAUUCCUUGUCGGGUAAG
rnacentral:rRNA from 1 species